rnacentral:rRNA from 1 species
UUCCGGUUGAUCCUGCCGGAGGCGACCGCUUUUGGAGUUCGAUUAAGCCAUGCGAGUCGAGAGCCUUAGGGGCUCGGCAUACUGCUCAGUAACACGUGGAUAACCUGCCCUAUUGUCUGGAAUAACCUCGGGAAACUGAGAACAAGGCCGGAUAACCCACAAUGCCUGGAACGGUUUGUGGGUGAAGAUAGGAUGGGUCUGCGGCGUAUCAGGUCGUAGGGGGUGUAAUGGACCUCCUAGCCAUCGACGCGUACGGGUGUUGGGAGACAUAGCCCGGAGAUGGAUUCUGAGACACGAAUCCAGACCCUACGGGGUGCAGCAGGCGCGAAAACUUCACACUGCAGGAAACUGUGAUGAGGGAACUCCAAGUGCAUGCACUAUGUGUAUGCUUUUCUUAACUAUUAAUCGGUUUUGGAAUAAGGGCUGGGAAAGACCGGUGCCAGCCGCCGCGGUAGUACCGGCAGCUCAAGUGGUCGUCGCUUUUAUUGGGCCUAAAACGUCCGUAGCCUGUUUGGUAAAUCUGUGGGUAAAUCAACCAGCUUAACUGGUUGAAUUCUGCAGAGACUGCCAGACUAGGGACCGGGAGAGGUGUGGGGUACUCUAGGGGUAGGGGUAAAAUCCUGUCAUCCUUAGAGGACCACCAGUUGCGAAGGCGCCACACUGGAACGGAUCCGACGGUCAGGGACGAAGCCUAGGGGCACGAACCGGAUUAGAUACCCGGGUAGUCCUAGGUGUAAACGCUGUGAACUUGGUGUCGGGGAUCCGUAAUGGGUUCUCGGUGCCGGAGUGGAGAUGUUAAGUUCACUGCUUGGGGAGUACGGUCGCAAGGCUGAAACUUAAAGGAAUUGGCGGGGGAGCACUGCAACGGGAGGAGCGUGCGGUUUAAUUGGAUUCAACGCCGGA